rnacentral:rRNA from 1 species
UACAGGGGGGGCAAGCGUUGUUCGGAAUUACUGGGCGUAAAGGGUCAGUAGGCGGCCAACUAAGUCCGACGUGAAAUCCCUCAGCUCAACUGAGGAAGUGCGCCCGAAACUGCUUGGCUUGAGUACCGGAGAGGAUGGUGGAAUUCCCGAAGUAGAGGUGAAAUUCGUAGAUAUCGGGAGGAACACCGGUGGCGAAGGCGACCAUCUGGACGGAUACUGACGCUGAGACGCGAAAGCGUGGGUAGCAAACAGG